ensembl:snoRNA
GGGGAAGUGAUGACACUGUGACCGCUGACGUGGCACUGAUUUCUCUGGUAUUCGUACUGGGCUGAUCCCG